rnacentral:rRNA from 1 species
GAAGGUGGCAAGCGUUGUACGGAAUCACUGGGCUUAAAGAGCACGUAGGCGGACUGUCAAGCGUUUUGUGAAAGCCCUCGGCUUAACCGAGGAACUGCUUGGCGAACUGGCAGUCUUGAGGCAGGUAGGGGCGAGUGGAACUCUUGGUGGAGCGGUGGAAUGCGUAGAUAUCAAGAGGAACGUCGGAGGCGAAGGCGACUCGCUGGGCCUGUCCUGACGCUGAGGUGCGAAAGCUAGGGGAGCAAACGGGGGAUUAGAUACCCCGGUAGUCCUAGCCCUAAACGAUGUCAACUAGGUCGAAGAGCUUCUGACAGACUUUCGGCCGUAAUGAAAACGAUAAGUUGACCGCCUGGGGGAGUACGGUCGCAAGGCUA